GAUCGUUACACAGAGGGAAAGUUUUCCUUCAUCCCUCCGUCAUCAGAAGGAAAGAACGAACCAGAUCCAGGAAACAAUGAGAUGACAACAGAUUGGUGGUGGUACAUUCGUCUGGUUGUGGGUUUUGCAUCAAUCGUAACAUUGGUUGUGAUUCUCAUCAGAUGCAGAAGAAACAAGAUCCAGGGUGGUGAUGUUGCAGUGGCCUUCAGCACUGUGGAAGCUCCCUCCUCUUCUACUGGACCCUCAGCUGAUCCCAGCAGCCUCUAUGAGAACGUCACAAUCAUACAAUAGUAGAGUCACAUUUGACAUCGAUAUAUUUAUAUCAGGAAUCAUUUGUUACAACUUUCUGCUGUGAAAACAAAGUCACUCGUAAUAAUGUGAUUCUCAUUAGAUAGAAAAGAAACGAAGGUGGGAACAUUCCCAGAGGAAACUUUGAUUUAGUUUAAACUUCUGC